AGCCAUUUUACAGAUAUUGUUUGUGAGAGCGCGCGCUCAAUCUGUCCGGCCCGCGAAUAAAGCUGUGGAAGACGUCUUGCAGCAUUUCUAACUACCGAGGCACUGUGAACCCCUGAAACUUGAUUCUGUUGUUCAUGAUUUACAAUCUGAAGACUAUCAAGAGAUCAAAGGAAUAAAGGCCAGACACCAGAAACAAGCAGCUCAUCACAACCUUCCACAGCCUUGCAUAGUUCACCUGCAAGUUCUCAAUCGUCCUCCACCAGCAGCUCCCAAAGCCCAGAUGUAGACUGGGUGGAUACGUUUCUGAUACCAUGGGAUACAUUUUUUGGAGAGAGAAAAACUACCAAGUUCACGAAUGAGAAGAGAGAUGGUCCGAAUUGUGGCCAAUCCUGCUUUUCAUCGAAGCGUUUCCUGCUGUGUGUGGAUCGAAAUGUUGUACAUGACAACAUCCCCUCCUUUAUUUCUGCCCUGUGCAUGAUGUUUGGGAGCUAUUAUUGCUUCGACAUCCAUUACCCAUCAGAGCUGGCAUCAAUCUUGGAGUUUUUGCAGAAGUGUUUCUUCUCUAUCAACCCAGAGAAAGGCACUAAAGUGGAGAAGACAAACACAGCCCGUCUUCAUGUGAACCCAAGAGUUCUUACCUUGAUUCAGGAACUUUCAGAUCAUGAAUGGCGUGACGUCUAAAUAUGGACUGAAGUCAGUAAGAUUUGACAUACAGUGAAUGCCAGUUUCUCAGGUUUGUUUGAUCUGCCAUGCUUAAUGUAUGUGUUUAAGUUAGUACACAACUAUUAGCGUUUU